CCUACGGGUGGCAGCAGUGAGGAAUAUUGGUCAAUGGACGAGAGUCUGAACCAGCCAAGUAGCGUGAAGGAUGACUGCCCUAUGGGUUGUAAACUUCUUUUAUAAAGGAAUAAAACGAGGCACGUGUGCCUUUUUGUAUGUACUUUAUGAAUAAGGAUCGGCUAACUCCGUGCCAGCAGCCGCGGUAAUACGGAGGAUCCGAGCGUUAUCCGGAUUUAUUGGGUUUAAAGGGAGCGUAGAUGGGUUGUUAAGUCAGUUGUGAAAGUUUGCGGCUCAACCGUAAAAUUGCAAUUGAUACUGGCAGUCUUGAGUACAGUUGAGGUAGGCGGAAUUCGUGGUGUAGCGGUGAAAUGCUUAGAUAUCACGAAGAACCCCGAUUGCGAAGGCAGCUUACUAAACUGUGACUGACAUUGAUGCUCGAAAGUGUGGGUAUCAAACAGGAUUAGAUACCCCAGUAUUC
rnacentral:rRNA from 1 species